rnacentral:rRNA from 1 species
UACAGAGGCCUCGAGCGUUACUCGGAAUUACUGGGCGUAAAGCGUGCGUAGGUGGUGAGUUAAGUCUGAUGUGAAAUCCCCGGGCUCAACCUGGGAAUGGCAUUGGAUACUGGCUCGCUAGAGUGCGGUAGAGGGUGGUGGAAUUCCCGGUGUAGCAGUGAAAUGCGUAGAGAUCGGGAGGAACAUCUGUGGCGAAGGCGGCCACCUGGACCAACACUGACACUGAGGCACGAAAGCGUGGGGAGCAAACAGG